rnacentral:ncRNA from 1 species
UGUCUCCUCCACCCUCCGAAAAGGUGGAUUUAGCCCCAGGUCGCAAGACCUGGGGCUUUUUUC